UACGUAGGGUGCGAGCGUUGUCCGGAAUUAUUGGGCGUAAAGAGCUCGUAGGCGGUCUGUCGCGUCGAUCGUGGAAAACUUGGGCUUAACCCUGAGCUUGCGGUCGAUACGGGCAUGACUGGAGUUCGGCAGGGGAGAACUGGAAUUCCUGGUGUAGCGGUGAAAUGCGCAGAUAAUCAGGAGGAACACCGGUGGCGAAGGCGGGUCUCUGGGCAACUACUGACGCUGAGGAGCGAAAGCGUGGGGAGCGAACAGG
rnacentral:rRNA from 1 species